rnacentral:rRNA from 1 species
CACGUAGGGUGCGAGCGUUGUCCGGAAUUAUUGGGCGUAAAGAGCUCGUAGGCGGUGUGUCGCGUCGGCCGUGAAAACCUGCAGCUUAACUGUGGGCUUGCGGUCGAUACGGGCAUCACUGGAGUUCGGCAGGGGAGACUGGAAUUCCUGGUGUAGCGGUGAAAUGCGCAGAUAUCAGAAGGAACACCGGUGGCGAAGGCGGGUCUCUGGGCCGAUACUGACGCUGAGGAGCGAAAGCGUGGGGAGCGAACAGG